AUGCUGCUCCACCACCUCCUCCCCCCCUCCUCCAGGGCCCCGUUCCGCCCCUCUCCGCGGCGACCGUGUGGCGGCGCGUUCACGGUCCGGUGCGCCUCCUCCUCGGCCCCGUCGUCGUCGUCGGCCGGGCAGCAGGUGGCGAAUGUGCACAGCUACGGCACGGUGGACUUCGAGCGGCGCCCGGCGCUGCGGUGGAGCAGCCUGUACCGGCGGGUGGCGGUGGGCCACGGCGGCCGGCCCGUGGGGCGGACGCUCGCGGACUGGGACGAGGGCGAGCGCCGCCUCGACAAGUGGGAGCUCUGCCGCAUCGCCAGGGAGCUCCGCAAGUUCCGCCGCUUCAACCUCGCACUGGAGGUUUAUGAUUGGAUGACUGAUCGAAGGGAUAGAUUUUCGCUAUCAUCUAGUGAUAUGGCAAUCCAGUUAGAUCUGAUUGCAAAAGUACGUGGUGUUCCAGAUGCUGAAGAAUACUUUGAAAAGCUUCCUGAACCACUGAAAGACAAGCGAACAUAUGGGUCUCUUCUCAAUGUUUAUGCCCAAGCUAGGAUGAAAGAGAAAACAGAAUACACAUUUGAGCAGAUGAGGAAAAAAGCGUUUGCAACUGACACAUUACCUUUUAAUGUGUUGAUGAAUUUUUACGUGGAUGUUGCAGAGCCUGAGAAAGUGUCUACAGUUACUGAUGAGAUGAAGCAAAGAAAUAUCGCCUUUGAUGUCUGCACUUACAACAUUUGGAUAAAGUGCUGUGCAGCUAUGAAAGACGCUGAUGCAAUGGAACGAGUCUUUAACCAGAUGAUUGCUGAUGAGUCUGUUGUUGCCAACUGGACUACUUAUACCACACUUGCUAGCAUGCAUAUCAAGCUGGAGAACUUUGAGAAGGCAGAAGAAUGCCUGAAAGAAGCUGAGAAGCGAGCAACGGGUAGGGAUAAGAAAUGUUUCCAUUUUCUCAUUACACUCUAUAGCCACCUUCAGAAGAAGGAAGAAGUCUACCGCAUUUGGAAUUGGUAUAAAGCAACUUUCAAGACAAUUCAUAACCUGGGUUACCAGGAGGUGCUGUCUGCCCUUGUUAGGCUAGGAGAUAUAGAGGGAGCUGAACUUCUAUACGAAGAAUGGGCAUCCAAAAGUUCUAGUUUCGAUCCGAAGACUAUGAACAUUUUAUUAGCAUGGUAUUCUAGAGAAGGUUUUGUUGUGAAGGUUGAGCAAACUCUGAACAGAUUUGUUGAGAAAGGUGGGAACCCCAAACCAAAUACCUGGGAAAUCCUUGCCACGGCGUACCUGAAGGACAAUCAGUUUGCUGAAUCUCUGUCAUGUUUGGAAAAAGCCACUGCAGUUAAAAGUGCAAGUAAAUGGAGACCAAGACCAACCAAUGUUGAGAGUCUCCUGGCAUAUUUCAAGGAGAAGAAUGACACGGAGAGUAUCGACAGGUUAAUGAGUGUACUCAGAAGUAGAGGGUGUGCUGAGAACGAAGAGUACAAGUCAUUGAUUGACACCUAUGCUUUGGUGGUUGCGGGCACGUGA
rnacentral:rRNA from 1 species